rnacentral:rRNA from 1 species
GACAGAGGGUGCAAACGUUGCUCGGAAUCACUGGGCGUAAAGGGCGUGUAGGCGGGCAGGCAAGUCAGAUGUGAAAUCCCUGGGCUCAACCCAGGAACUGCAUUUGAAACUCCCUUUCUUGAGUGUCGGAGAGGAAAGCGGAAUUCCUGGUGUAGCGGUGAAAUGCGCAGAUAUCAGGAAGAACACCCGUGGCGAAGGCGGCUCUCUGGUACGUGACUGACGCUGAGACGCGAAAGCGUGGGGAGCGAACAGG